GGCCAUGCCCCGGGGGGGCAGAAGACACCUCUCUGGAGUCACAGUUGAGAGACCUGCCCUGUGAAAAGCAGAGACCACGAUUGGGAGCGUCUCCAGGCGCUGCGGACACACUGGCCGAGGCGCUGGUCAGUGCAGGGGACACGGAUUUGAUCCCUGGUCCGGGAAGCUGCCACGUGCCACGGGGCGACUGAGCCCAUGUACCACAACUACUGAAGCCUGAAAUCUACAGCCCAUGCUCAGAAACAAGAGAAGCCACCGCAGUGAGAAGCCCACACACCACAGCUAGAGAAAAGCCCGUACGCAACAAUGAAGACCCAGUGCAGUCAUAAAUAAGUCCAGCAGAUUAUUUAUUAGCUUUCUGAAAAAACUGGGGUCCGCCCAGAUAUCCUUCAGUGAAUAAAUGUUGGUUACAUGCACACCAUGGAAUAUUCCUCAGCAAUGAAAAGGAGCAAACCAUUGAUACAGGCAACAACUUGGAUGAAUCUCCAGAGCAAUAAAUAGGCUGAGUGAAAAACAGCCAGUCCCCUACAUAUGAUCCUAUUUGCAUAACAUUUUUGAAAUAACAGAAGUUUAGAAAUGGAGGCCAAAUGGGCAGUUUCCAGAGGCUGGGGGUGGGGA